rnacentral:lncRNA from 1 species
AUCGUUGUAAUUCGUCAACCGAUCUUUUGGGGUGGCUUGCAGUGCAAGAAAGAGAUGAACUUUCUUUUUACUUCCGGCGCCUGCAGGCACGAAAACGACGUAGUCUUUGUACACCGGCUUCCCAUAACCUUGGCUCCACGUGAUUACAUCCGCAAACUGCUCCGCCUUCUGAUUGGCGAUGAAGAUUUGAAACAGCCGGUCCCUGGGCAAUGUAACAGCACCUUCGAACUCACAAAAAUGAAGCCGAAUAAAGUAAUAAAACGUAGAAUCUACCGGAAACCCCCAGGUGAGAUUAUAGUUCUUGUUUAUGGUUUUGUUCCUCCCCAUCGACCGAGCGGUUCGGUAAACUUCUUCCGGAGCAGAGUACUCCGGAAUUUUCGAAAAGUCGGGCUGAAUACUACUGUUUUGCGGCAGAACACUAAAGUUUUUACUCAAAUCGUCCAAAUAGUUGUACUCCACUUGAAUACCAUCCCAGUUUCUGUACAUUCCAGUGUCCCGAUUGAACGAGAGCUGAGAUCCGCCGACGUUGAUCCGGUAGACCAUCUCCAUGGCGGUGUUAUUUUUGAUCGGAUACGAGUUUAUGCUGCCUACGGAAACAGGCCCAUCUGCGCUUUGUGGUGGAGUGUAAUAAAGAUUGUCGGGCAUGGACACGAUUUCGAUUCCAUUGAUGAAGGCGUAGGCAUCUGGACUUGCUCUGCUCGGAGUGAACGUGAUGUUCAAGCUCUGUUCGGAUGCAAUGUUGAGACAGAACUCCCUGGAUACUGUCUCCGACGGGAAAGCGUCGGCGGUGACAGAGGCGUUGAAAUCGCGGAGAAGGGUAAAGCCGCCGGCUUCGACUGAGAAGAGGGAUUUAGAUCGGUCGAACUCGGCGGCGUAGGAAGUGGGGUAGAAGUACAAGCGGAUGAACUUUUGGCCGCUGGUGAGCGGAAAUGUGUACGUAAAUUCGGAGCGAGAGAGCCGAGCUGUGGUGUAAGGCACUUGGCUGGAGGAGUAGAUCGGGGUUGCUGCUUUGUAUACGGAUGAGCUGCCAGCUGCUUGGAAGGGGGAGAAUUUUGAGUUGAUAUCGCCACUCCAAGUUCGUCCGUCCUGUUGGUUGACUUGGUCGCCGGAAAAGCCGCACUGUAGGGUGAUGUCAUCGACCGGUUUGUAGGCAGAAGGUGAGUUUCCGGCGACGUGUAGGGUUAUGAUUUGCAGAAACAGGGUAAGGAACAGAUGAGCAAGAUUGGGAUUCAUGGUUAGGUGUUUGCUACAUAUGGAAACGGGGGAAUCUGUUGCUGAUUAUUAUCGUAAGCUUAUCAAAAUUCCAUUUAUAAUUAAACUUCUAACUGGAUUUUGGAUACUUUAAUGGUGAAGUGUUCAGUUGUAAUUUGAAAACUGGGUGCUUGAAAAUUCAGAGGUUUUUUUUUUUUUUUUUCCACCAAAUUUCUGAUGAAUAUUAAAGCAGUUUGUCUUGUCCUCUACUCUUAGUUGUUAUAUUAUUGUUGAAUGCACAAUUAUUGAAAAUCUAGGGUCAAAACAAAAGUAGUGGGGCAUGAGAGAAAAUUUAAUGGAGGAAUGACUUCUCCGGCACUUUAGAAAGGAUUAAGCUUUAGAAAAACUAAUAAAAAGUGUUUGAAAAUUUUGAGUUUUAACAAUAAGGAUAAAAUAAAAGGUAAAAUGAAUAGUACCAGGAUUGAUUUUUUAGUGUAAAAAUAGAAUUUUUCGUUAAAGUAAACAGUACCGUAAGUUUUUCGUUAAAGUUCUCUGAAUUUGUUAAUGGUUCUUUAUGCCACAAUUACCCUGAAUUUGUUUCAUUUAAAUCUCUCUCUCAUGGAUCAAAGACUUUGAAUGUGGUCUAAAUUCUUAAAGAUUCUCAAUCAUCAACAGUAACGUUAAUAGACUACACACAAAGGGUAGUGGUGGUGGACUUGAAGAGUCAAAGUCUUUGUCACAAGUCUUUAUGCAUGGUGGGUCGUUUGCUUGUAUACUUUUCCAAACAAAUAGAUUAACUUGUUAUAUAUUCUUACGGUUAAUGCUUGGUAGAAAAGUCUCACCACUAGCAAGUUGCAAACAACCCGUGAAAUGGUAUCCAGCUAUGAGUUAGUAAACGUCAUUUUAACAAGCAUGUCUCUUUUCAAAUGUGACUUUUGUGGUAAGGUGAUGAUAUUAUCCCCACAGAUUUUUGUUAGCAUUGAUGCAUUUGGGGAUUACAUGUAUCAUUGAUUUUAAGUGCACAUAAACGACUAACAUAUAAGAGGUUUAUGUUGACUUGUCGCUGGAAAAGCCACACUAAAGGGUGAUGUCAUCGACCGGAGUGUACACGGAGGCUGAGUCUGCGGCCACAUGUAGGGUUAUGAUUAAACCUCUACUAUGAGUUGUUAUGUUAGGAAAAUGAUCAUCGCCGGAUCUUUUUUCUAUGGAUCAUGGGGAUUCCGUUAUCGUGAUCGUUCAUUGUAUAUCGUGUAAUUAGAAAUCAUUUCAAAAUUAAAAAUUAAAAAUUAAAUAUAAAUAGUACCUAACGAAAAUUGAUCGCAUGAUGUACGAUGAACGAUCACAAUCACAUGAUUCCCACCGGAUCCUUUUCCGUUAUGUUAUUGUUUGCAUGCACAAAUAUUGAAAAUCUAGGGCAAAACAAAAGUAGUGGGACAUGAUUUCAUGGAGGAGUUCAUCGUUGAUUCAUCAGGAUGGAGAUAAUUUUUAGUGUGUUUGGGAAUAUAUGACUGGUAUAUCUAGUGUUAUAACAUAAUUGGUUAAAUUUUUUUUUUCAAGAGUCUAAUUAAUUGUAUUAUGACACUUGGUAUACUGGGUUAUGUUCUUGAUACUAAAAAAUAUAUUGGCACAAUGACUUCUCAAACCACUAACUAAUAUAUGAUCAUGAGUGGAAUUUUUUCUGAUAUCACCUUGUAUUAGUGGUUCAAUACACCACAAUUAUAUUGAAUUCGUUUCAUUUAAGUCUUUUUCGAACUAGAUGAAUCAAAGGCUUUAAAAGGAAGGUCAUCAUCCAGAAAGAUGACCAAACAAUACCCGCCAGAGAUUUAAAUGUCAAAUAAUUGGUUGCAUGUCUCUAUCAUCGAGAGUAAAGUUAAUCCAUAUUAUCUAUCUAUAUUAUUAAGAGAAGAGGGCUUGUCAACUUUUUUCCCCCAUUUCUUCCAAUUUUGCUCUCAUUUUUUAACACACAAUAUUGACAUGAGGAGGGCAAAAUAGUAAUUUUGUAUCUUUUGAACUCUUUCCCCUUUUCUUCCAAUUUUGCCCUCAUUUUUUAAUACACAAUGUUGAUAUGAUGAGGGCAAAAUAGUAAUUUUGUAUCUUUUGAACUUUUUCCCCUUUUUUCCUAUUUUGCCCUCACUUUUGAUACACAAUAUCUACAUAAGGAGGGCAAAAUAGUAUUUUUAUAUUGAAAUAUUUACAUAAGAUAAAAAAUAUGCAUUUAUUAAGAGAAAUUAUCCCUCCAUCAUUUUUUCAUACAUGUAAGUGAAAUCAUAAUGUUUUUUUGAUAGUUUGAAUGAACUGAAGCGGUUGCGCUUGAGGAGAACGUGGGAGGUGGUGGACGGUUUUUCCCCUUUUUUCCUAUUUUGCCCUCACUUUUCAUACACACUAUUGACAAAUAGGAGGGCAAAUAGGAAAACAAAAGGGGGAAAAAAGUUGACAAUAAGGCUUCUCUUAAUAAUAGUAUAGGAAACAAAUAUGCAUUUAGUAAGAGAAAUUGUUCACACACACACUUGUGCUCUCUGCUAGUAGACUUAAUACAAAGGGUAGUCGACGAAAUAUCCAAAAUCUUUGCCACAAGUCUUUAUGCAUAGUGAUUUGCUUGUAUACUUUUCCAAACAACAAGUAGAGAUUGUGUUGUUAACUUGUUAUAUAGUCUUAAGGAAAAUGCUAGGUAGAAACGUCUCACCACUAACAAGUAACAACCAACCCGUCAAAUGGUAUCGAGGUAUGACUUGGUAUACGUCAUUUUAACAAGCAUGUGUCUUUACAAUGUGAUUUUUGAGGUAAGAUGAUGAUAAUACACACACAGAUUUUCGUUAGCAUUGAUGCAUUUUGUGAUUUACAUGUACUAUUGAUUUUAAGUGCAUAUAGACGACUGAUUCUAAGUGUACAUAGAUGACUGACAUACCCUAUUCUUAUAAGGUACUUGAACAAAUUAAUACCUAAUAUACUCGACCAUCCUUAUAUAAUAUAGUUUGGCUACAAUAAUAUUAGGGGAUAUCCUCAAUCUGUUGAGGUUUUGCGAUUUAGAUGUGUUAUUGAUUUUAAGUGCCUACAGACAACUGAUUCUAAAGUGCACAUAGACAACUGACAUACCCUCUUCUUAUAAGGUACUUGAACAAAUUAAUACUUAAUAUACUCGACCAUCCUUAUAUAAUAUAGUUUGGCUACAAUAAUAUUAGGGGAUAUCCUCAAUCAGUUGAGGUUUUGAGCUUCUGCCUAGCUAAGUUUAUGUUAACAUGGUGUAUAGUGUAUAUAACCAAAAAAGCACAUUGUCUUCAUAGAAUUUAUGUUCAUCUAUUUUGAAAUGGAAGUAAAAUAAAGCCAACAAGUUACAAGAAAACCCUUAUUUGACUAAAAUUUAUGAUUAAACUUCUACUAGUCAAGAUCUAUAAAAAUUAGUGAUAAUUAUGUGAUUAAUGAAUGGGAGACACAAUAUAUUGGGUGAUGCUAUCCAUACGCAUUCCAUUUUACUUUUCCUUAGCCGUUAGGUUGAACGAAUUGAAAGAAUCAAAAGACCAAAAUUAACAGAGGUAUAGGCACCACCCUAUAUAUUAUACAACAAUAUGAACCAUUAUUUUUUAAUGUGAAACAUUUUAAACCAUGAAUCUACUCUCAAAACACAUUAGUAUAAAUAAUUAAACGACAGAAGUGGAAAAUAUUUUUUGUAAUCUGUUGGGAGCUUGAGGUUUCCAAAUUCAAAUUCAAGAGGUUGGGUUAGGCUCGCCGGAUGACUUCAAGAUUAGCUUUCAACGUCGUGAUCAUGGAGACGGUAUCUCAUUCGAUGGGGCAAGUGGACUUUUGGACCAUGCUUUUGCUCCCACGGAUGGAAGGCUGCACUUGGAUGCAGAUGAACGAACUCGAUCUGGUUUGAGGCCUCCAAGUAAGAACAAACUUGAUCCGGUUUGGGUGGCUACGCACGAAAGGACUGGGUUCACCUCCGGAUCCCAGCCUGCAAAGCCAGCUGACCUCAAGAUCUCAUCCUUCCAUUUUUGAUCUUGUGGCCAGGAAUAAUGAAAAAUUUUCACGCAAAACAAGGCAAGAUGAAAAUGGAAGGAUGCGAUCUUGUGGUCAAUUGGCUCCGCAGGAUGGGAUCCGUAGGUGAUCCCAGUCCGUCGUGAUAGAAAUGGCCCUUCAUGACUUUAGUUGUGAAAAUAAACAUCAAUAAAAUAAAAUUGUUUAAGUGUCUGAUAAAUUUGUUUUAUAAAAGUACUUUUAACUAAAAAAACAAUGUUUGAUAAACUUUUGUAUAAAAUUGCUAUGAGCAUAUUAAAUGACUAAAACUGAUCACCAUGCUUUGAAAAAAAAAAGAAAAAAAAAAGGUCUUUUUCAGAUGGUAGACUCUGCUUCCACGUUUCUAUGCUUUUCAUAUUUGAUGUUCUAAAUUUUUUAAUAAGCUUUUUUUUUUUUUUUUUAAAGCAUCACAACUCCAAACCAACCUGUAAUCACUUCAGGCAUUGGGAAUCGAAGGAUGUGCACCAUCAGUUCGGAAAUUUUCCUUGAGCAUCUCCGCAGGUAUGUUGUCUCCGAUUUCUUUGAAUAAAAAUUCAGGCAACGGGGAGUUGAAGCACACCUUCGAAGCUGUCAAACUCGUUAGGAGUUUUAUCGAACAAGGCUUCGAGCUCCGGUCUAAUGAAUUGGGCUAUAAUUUCAGUGCAUGUGCCAGGACGUCUGACAUCUUCCGGUGUCCAAAUCGUAGCUUACGACAUUGCUGCAUAGAUAACCCUCCUCAUAUUGGUUGUUGAAUUAGAGUUUUAUCUCAACCAAUUAAUGUAUUAAUGAAGCAUUGUAAUCGUAGGUAAUUUCCAUUUACUAACCUAGGUAUAAAGCAAAGAGAAAUACUUAGUUACUGAUAAAUCUUUUUUUUUUUUUUUUUGACAAAUGGGAGAAUAAUCUGCACUGAAUUUUUCUAACUAUGGGGAUGGGAGAAAAUUUAAACUAGAAAAAUAGUGGGUUGAAGAGAAACGCUCUAUCUACCAAGCAAUCUGUCACUUGCUUGACCAAUCAAUUAGUUAUCUUGUUAUUGAUCACAAUCUGUUUUUUUCAAUAAUAUUACAAAAAAUGCCAUGGGAAUCGUAGGUCAUGUUUCUAAGUUGUGUCAUUUCUCAUUUCCUAAAUUAUAACAUAUUGUUGAUCAACAUAAGUGUUUUGUAAUUAAUAUUGUAAUCAAUAACUUGAACUUCGCUUUAUAUUGUAUGGAAUCCGCAGAUCGUAAAACCAUGUAUGGGGGCUAAUGCAUAUCCUGUGUUGGAAGGUCAAGGAAGCUAAUGGCCUAAUGCCAUGGGAGCCGGCAAUUAAAACUUCAGUGAGAAGCGAUCAUAACUAUAACGGUCCUAAGUCAGAAAAUUUCUUGUCGAAUAAGUUUCAAGUUCCAACAAAAUACGAAAGACAUAACGAUCUGGACAAUCUCAAGUAGUUCCAACCCAAAACCCAAUUGUCAAAUGAACCUCACACCUUCGUCAAGCUCUGUAGGCUAGUUGGUAUCCACAUUCCCAAAGGGCCAAAUGGACCAUAUCAAAUCAACCCAAUCAAAAGCCCAAUCAGAUUGCAAACAACCCACAUCCAAAUCAAACACGGGUCAGAAAUGACCCAAAUUUCAAAUCGGGUUAGUCUUCUCUGUCUGUCUUCCCCUAAAACCCUAAACUUUCUUUUACUCUGUUGUCACAGAAAACGCAAAAGUUUUCAAUCUUUGAAAAUCGUGAGGAACCAUGAUGAACGGCGGUCGGCACCAAAACAAAUUCGCAUGGAAGCCAAACCUCGGCGUCAAAAUCAACGAAACCGAGGUCGGAGGUCGGUUCCGGCCGCUGUCGGAGAUAACGGGGGUCUGCCAGCGCUGCAAGGAACAGAUCGAGUGGAAGCGCCGUUACGGAAAGUACAAGACCCUGACGGAGCCCGCCAAGUGCCAACGUUGUACCAAACGCGCCGUCCGUCAGUCCCACCAUAAGCUCUGUGCUGCUUGUGCCAAGGAACAACGUGUUUGUGCGAAGUGUUGCUGUCGUGUCGAGCAAAUUGUCGGAAAAGACCUUGCGGAAGUGGAGUCUGAGCAGAAGCAGCUUCAAGAGGUUUGAUUUUUUUUAAUGUUGUUUUUGUUAAGUUUCCAGUUUUUAACUGGUUUUCGAUUCGAAAAUUGACGAAAAUUGAUGGUUUUCGAUUCAAAAAUGCAAGAGAAAGAGAUAGGAGGAGUCUAUUGCGUGUGGCAUGUUCUCGAAUUUGAACACAUUUGUUUGUUCUUGUAUUGGAUUGUGAAUCAAAAGUUGCAUAAUUUGUGAUCUCGGAUAGUACUGUAACCGACGAAUGCUGGAAAAAAAAAAUAUCCGGGUGUAGCGAAAGCUGCAAGCGAGAAAGGAGACAAAGCGGGGGACCUGUUCCCGUCUGCGUCACUCGAAGAAUAUGCAGAGGCAAGCAGAGAUGAUGACGAUGAUGAUGACGAUGACGACGGUGACGAUGGCGAUGAUGGUGAAGGCGAAGAAGAUGAGGCACAUGUUUGCAAUUAAAAGAGGUUCUAAGUAGUAUUUCAGUUGCCUAUGAUCGUGUACUGUGCCCAUCCUUUGCUCGCAAGUUCGAAAUCGCUUGCAUCUCUCUGUACUGUCAGUGACAAAUUGGGCAAAGAUAUCCUCGUUUCUUCAACACCAUGAAGAAGGUCUUGAAGAAGUUAACUGAUCAUCGUCUUUUUGUCUUGAAGAAGUAAACGGAUCAACGGGUUUUUUUUUUUUUUUGAGAAAAUUUGAAAUAGGUACAAGUUUAUAGCCCUACUUUUGAAAUAAGUCCAAAUUUAAUAACUUUUGACUUUUGAAAUAGGUUCAAUUUUUAGUUACUUGACAUUUUUUUUUCUUUUCAUGUUUGUUUGUUUUAGUGGUCGGACCCAUAAUUUUGUGCAAGUGCUUAUGCACAGAAACCUUGAACUUUUGUUCGUUUUUAAUUAUCAAUGUAGGUCUUGUUUAAUAUUACCACAGAUCAAGUUGCAUUGCUUUUGGGGUUCUUGGGUUAGAAGCAAACUGCUAAUAAAGUAUGCUGGGCACCUGGGGAAGAUCGAAAACUCAAUAGAAAAAUAAGAGAGAUCCAACUUCACUCUUCAAGUCAACAGCUUCGAGAUUGAUUGAAUCUUCAAAUGGUUGUUAUUUCUACGAGUUGGAAGGAAGAAGAAAGCCGAUCUUACGAAAUGCAAAAGGAGAGCAGUUUUAAGCUAGUCAGAUGCCGUCUUGUGACGAUGCUGUGUACCAUUCUCCUUGUCAGCCCCGUUACAGUUUUCAUUUUCGGCUUCCAUAUCUCAUAUCCGCAAUCCUUUUUGUCCUUCAACACCAGUAUCUCCCAUGACCAAAUUGUUUUGCCUCACUCCCUGCCCGCGGAUGUCUCUCAUUUGCAGAUCCAGCUGGGACUUUUGUCGCAGCAGCUGCAUAAUGAAAGUUCCGAAUCAAAAGUACUUGCGAAAUUUUCGGAUCAGGUGCUUCGCAUCGCCAUUUCUUUGGACAAACUUGCUGAUUGCAUUAAAAAGAAGCAUCAUCCGGACAAAGAUGAAGUAAGCACCGUGGAUGAAGAUUUCACAAAUCCAGAGGAAGGUGAAGCUGAAGCUGAAGAACAGGUUCCAGGUGGCACAAUCUUCACUUCAGGUGAGAUUCGUAUUUACAUUUCACCAAAACAAAACAGGCAGAUUGGGAAGAAAAAUUUUCUUGUGGUAGAAGCAAUAACUCCAUCAGUUGGGUUGGCUUGUGCCCGAACGGCGCCGGUUUAUGAGUUACAAACGGCAUGUGCCCAGAUGAUUCGGAAAUAGCUCAGAAGCUUUUAUUUCAUGGAAGUGAUCCAUUGCCAAGAAGAAGAUGCUUCACAAAAUCACCGCCAUACUACACCAAGCCACUUCCUAUAAACUUCUCCCUUUGGACUCAACCUAGCAAUGCUAACAUCUUAUGGAACAAUUACAAGUGCAAAGACUACUCUUGCCUUGUUUCGAAAGAAACCAAGGACAGAAGAGGCUUCUUCAAAUGCUCAGACUGUUUUAACUUUUCAAAACAAACGUGGGACACUCCAACAAACGAGUCCGAAUCGGCAUAGUUCACCAUUGAUGAAGUUCUAAGCUUAAAGCCAGGGGAGAUAAGAAUCGGCCUAGACUUCAGGUCGACCACGGGAAUAUUUGCUGGUAUCAUGAGGGAAAAGAACGUUACCAUUGCAUCAAGUACCUUAAACUUAGGGUCUCCUUUCAAUGAGAUCAUUGUCUUAAGAGGUCUUCUUCCUCUUUACACAUCAAUCGGUUCGAGCCUACCUUUCUUCGACAACACCCUUGACAUUAUCCAUUCGACUUUGUUCUUGGAUGGCUGGAUUGGAGCUGAACUCCUUCAGUUUGUAUUGUUUGAUUGGGACUGCGUCCUCCGGCCGAAGGGUCUUCUUGGGAUAGACAGGUUCUUCUGUCACAAGGAAGACAUGAAGUUGUAUUUGGAUGAGUUUAAGAGGUUAGGCUACAAGCCAUUGCUAUGGAGUGUAGUGCCCAAGACUGAGCUCUUCUUCUCAGCUGUUCUGGGGAAGCCAAUCAGAGGUUAAUAAUCGUCGUUAACAAGUAAAUUUCUCAAUAUCUUAGCGUUUUAAUGAAUUCCGUGAUAUUUUAAUGAGUAAUACUUGUCAUUAACAACAGGGAUUAAGCAUUUCUAUCGUACUUAGUAAGGUUUGCAAUUACAUUGAUAUUUUAAAGAGAAAAAUAUAUAGCAACAUGAAAUUAUUAUAUAACUUGUAUUAAUAACGCAUUUUAGAGUACUUGGAGCUAACGGAAGACUAGACAUAAAAUAGAGCGUAGUGGCGUUCUAAAAUUCAUACAACCGAAUAUAAAAUUUCUGUAUAUAGAUCUCGACCAAUGCUUUUUGCUUGAGAAGUUGAACGGCAGGCAUUUAAAAUUUCUGUAUAUAGAUUUCGAGAUAGGUCACCAAAAGUAUAUCCACUCCAAUUUCGUUUAUCAUACUGAUCGAAUAUCCUGCCAGACUAGCUACAUUUUAUGCUGAUAGAAUAGCCACAAUUUCGAGUCUCCUGAAGAAAGUUGAUGUUACACUAUAGAACCAAUUGGUAAUAUGAAGAAUACCGCAAUUUAUUUGUAAGUCCAUGCAUGGUGGACGUACGAUAGGGGUGACGAUGGUGUGCAAACACAAACAAGUAAUCGUGAAAAAGAAGAGUCAGCCAGAGUUUGUUCAAAGUCUUUGCGUAGAAAAGACUAGCGCUGAAGCAUCACUUCAGCAAUUUCCAUUCUUUUUCCUCUAUCACACAUUGGAUGAAUGUAUCUUUCUGUCGUUGGAAGUGUAUACUUUUACUUAAAGACUUGUGUUCUUGACGAUGAUAUAACAGACCCGACUUAAAAAUAUAAUAAGUUUUUACUAAAAUCGCGUUUCUUGGAAAGAGACUCGGGAGAGUGCUCCAUUUGGAGAAAUGGACACUUAGCAGGUGCUUUUUUAGAAAACGCUUAUAUGGCCUAAAAGCACUUUUAAGUCAGAGAUAAACCACUCCCCCCGCCUCCUGAUCCGACUAUUGUUUAAUCCGUACAUUUCAUCGAACCAUGAAAAUGUUCUAAUCUGGAAAUGGAAGCAAGUAAUCAACACCAAAUAUAAUUAAAAGUACAAUGCCAUACCUUCUUGCGCUAGCGGAGAUUUCCUCCGCUGUCACUCUUUCCCGCAGCCGCCUCUGAUCCAGACGGCAAUUCGAUUGCAAUUUUAUAUUUAUUUCUAAGGGCUCGGCACUUUUGGUAUAACCCGCCACUUUUAAGUCUGGCGUGAUAUAGAAGUUUUUUUCUUAGAAUUAAAAAAAAAAUGAUCAUUAUUAAGGGAAGAUGAAGGAUUCGAAACUAUUACAACAAUUAAGGGGAGGGAGAGUUCCAAAUUCGGGACGCAUGAGUAGAGACGCAACGCUCUAUCCAGUAAGAUAUUGAACCACAUGCAAUACAGAGGCUUGAACAGUCGCACAACCAUAAGUACAGUUUGUUAAUAGAAAGUGUUACUAGCUGUCCUAGAAGCAGAACAACGCAAUGCGAGGUACUUCAAGUAAUUCAUCAUUCAUUUGGGUACAAACACAAUUGAUAAGAAAUAGUUAUUGGCUUGCUUGUGACAACCCGUCCCGGGAUUUACGGAACGAAAAUGGCAUUUUAGUAAUUUCACAAAUUUCGGGAUGUUUGUUUUGAAAUGGGUUUACUUUUAAACCUUAAUUGGUGUGCCAAGGGGCCCACCUUCUGUUUUGUCUCCCCUGGGUCCCCUCUUCAUUUUCUGCCACGUGGCAACUCCCACACCCCCAUCACCUCACUCUCCCACCUGAGGCACUCUCUCAGCUCUCUCACUCUCUAAUCCCUUUCACUCUCACAGACCCCUCUCUCACUCUUCUCCCCUUCCCCGUCGACCCACACACUCACACGGAGGCAUCACCACCCUCACCCUCGUGAGAACUUCCCAUCCCUCUCCACUGUCUUCGUGAACCUCAGGGGCACCCAGAGGACACCCAACCCAGGUCCAGCAAACCAUGGGUGUGCUGCUCAAAUCCGGCCACCUCCAACCUUUUCUCGACGAAACAAAGGUAACAAACCCUUCCUCCUCGUUUCACUCUUCGUUUUGGUGCCUAGAUCGGACCCUAUAGUGGUAUUUUGCUAUCGGCCAGAGCUGGGGAAGCUCCUGCGUCCUUUUCCCGUCGAAACCAGUUCGUUAGGCCAGCUCGUCCAAACCCUGUCGAACCAAUGCCUUUUGGGCCGUGUAUAGGACUCGGGGCUUAGGCCCAUUAGCCGUUAUACCCAAAAGCCCAAACGGUUUAGUUUUUAAUUUUAAUUAUUUAUUUUUCUUUCAAAAACCCAAAAGAACUGGGCCGAGCCUUUAAGCCCAAGCCCGUAUAAACCCUUGGCCAGAGGCCAAAGGGCUUCAGCCCGUUGAGCUUUAAAAACCCCAAACCCUUUUAAAGCAAGCCUUCAGGCCAUGAGAGAACUCGAGUUCGGCCCAUUGACCCAAAACCCAAAACCCUUUUGGGCCUUUGCAGUCAAGCUCAAAACCCUUAGGCCCGUGGACCCAAGCCCAAGCCUUAGGUCCAAACCGAACCAAGCCCAGACCCAGUUUGACCGACCCAGACCUGUUGACUUUGACCUAGUCUGACUGUUGAUCGGCGUUGACUUUGACUUUGACCGAUCAAAGGUUGACGUUGACUUUUUGUUGACUUUUUCGGGCUUCGGUCGAGACCUCUCCUAGGCUAAUUUCGACAUUCUAAAUCUGUUUUUGGUGUCCGUUUUCCCAAAUUCAAUUGUUUGAAUAGAGUUUUAUUAAUUUGACCUUUUAUUUGCUUUGGUGCAUUUAUUGUGGUGUUUCCAUCUUCGCUAAUUUGCAUGGCUCUUCGACGGCGAAGUAUCUGUGAGUGGACCCCUUCUAAAAUGCAUGUUUUAAUAGUAGAAAUGCAUACAUGAAAAGCAUGAUUUAAUGAUAACGUUUUAUGAAACAUUUUAUGAAAUAUUAUGCUUAUUGAGAAUCUUUUGAAUUACCAUAUUUUAUCGAACUCAUGUUCUUUGUAGUAUAAAUGAUGGAUGACUUUAUACUACUUAUGAACAUGUUUUUGCACACUUCUUUAUAGUAUAGAUGAUUGAUGACUUUAUACUAUGAAGAUGUUUUUGAGAUAUAUAUACCUAUAUUUGGAAAGACUAUGUUCAAUGGUUUUGUGCUUAUCUAGCAGUCACUAUACUGUCACGAGCGAGGAUUAUGGUUGUUAGUUGCGAGCCGGGAGAAAUAAUCUCUGGCUACGGGCGCAAAGGCAUGGAGCUGGCAUUAGGGCGGGAGAUAUUGUUAUUGGAUACCACUAUUUAGCACCCUAUAUACGAGAAAUGUUUCAUGAGAAGUUUUAUGGCAUGCUAGGGUUUCAGAAAACCUACUAUUUAUUAUGCUAUUAGUUUUCAUAAAACUUUGGGGGUUAAUAUGUUAAAUAACUGUUUUAAUAUAUAUAUAUAUAUCAACUCGGUCCACUCAUGUUUGUUUUGUGCACCUUCAGGACUUAGAAUUGAGGCAUACAAUCUCGGCCUCAAGGCACUUCCACAUCGGCAUCGUCGAGUCCUCUCGGUGUAUGACCCAUUCAUUUGCUCAUUCAAUUUUGUAUUAUUUCUUUUUAGCGUUUUAAAUUAGUUGUAUGCUCUGAACACGUUCCUCAUUUGCAUAUUAAUUACAAUUAAAUUUAUAAGUCUUAUUUUUUUCUUGUUCUCAUGCAUUCUAAUAUGGCUUCGUCACCUUCAGGUGUCGGCCAGCACGUGCUUACCCUAGUGUUUGGGAGAGUAUUAGGGUUAGGCGUGUCAUUGCUAACACAUCAUAUAAUUUUAGCCAGAUUACUCUAAUGUUGUUAUAUCAUCUCCCAAUCGGAUCGUUGAUUUCUGAGAAGAUCGUCCCGGAUAUGCACUGAAUGGAUUCAUUCGUAGCGCAACCUGGCACACUAGCGAAGGCAUCCUCGUUGUUCCUUUCACCAUACUUCUGAUGUAGUUGCAAUGCAAACUCAAGCCCCUUCACAACAUCGUUCAUUGUCGGUCGUUCGAUCCCACUAUCAUUGAUGCAACUCAUAGCAAUUUCCACAAACUUGUUCAAACACUCGGUUUCAAUCUUACCCUUCAUGUUUGGAUCAAUGAUUUGAUCAAGUUCCCCGUCGCGAUGGCAACUCUUGGCCCAUUUAGCCAAGUUCAUUUGCCUUGUCUCCACUGCAUGCACCACAGCUGGUCUCGAGCACAGUACUUCACACAACACUACACCGAAUGAGUACACAUCAGAUUUCACAGUCAGUUGUUGACGUCGAUAGUAUUCCGGGUCUAGAUAACCGAAACUGCCUUUCACGGCCGUGCUAAUAUGGGUCUUAGACAUGGUGAUUGUGCCCAUUUUUGACAAUCCAAAAUCUGAAACCUUGGCCAUCCAAUUCUCAUCCAAUAAAAUGUUUGUGCUCUUCACGUCACGGUGGAUGAUAGUGCCCUUGGCUUCGUUGUGAAGGUAGCGCAACCCUCGCGCGGCGCCAAUGCAAAUUUGGAGCCGUUGUCCCCAAGAGAGAGGUGGGUUGUCGGUGUGGUAGAGAUGGUCGGCGAGUGUCCCAUGUGACAUGUAAUCGUACACCAAAAUCAUCUCAUUUCUAUCAGUACAAUACCCAAUGAGAGACACCAAAUAGCGGUGUCUAAGUUGUGCGAGCAGUUUGAUUUCCGUCUUGAACUCGCAGGCUCCCUGCUUUGACUCGGGUUUCAGCCGUUUGAUGGCAACGAGAGUGGCCCCGCCAUCGAUAUGCCCUUUGUACACGUGACCAAAGCCGCCAACACCAACAAUGAAACCUUGGCUAAAGUUUUGGGUGGCGGCUUUGAUCUCCGCCAGUGAAAAGUAGCGACACAAAUCGGACGGUAAAGAAGAGCCGCGAGUCUUGGUUGACUUGGUCGUCGAAAAAGAAAAUGGACCCCAUUUUGUUCUUUGCUCGGAGCUUGAGUCCUUGACUUUUCUUCCUCUCCAGAAAACCAAAAAUCCGAACACAAAGGCUAAAACAAACACACCUGAAACUACACCGGCGAUGAUGGCAAACAGAGGAAUAGAUUUCUUGUCUGAAACUUUGGGGCUCUCCGGCUGAGCUAUAUUUGGCGGGGGAGGCGGGUCGGGGUUUGGUCCGGCGAGAUUCCUAUUUGAAUCACUGAGCUUGAAGAUCUCGAGUCCAUUCAAGAUUGCAUCGUUGUAAUUCGUCGACGGAUUUUUUGGGGUGGUUUGCAGUGCAAGAAAGAGAUGAACUUUCUUUUUACUUCCGGCGCCUGCAGGCACGAAAACGACGUAGUCUUUGUACACCGGCUUCCCAUAACCUUGGCUCCACCAGAUUACAUCCGCCAUCUUCUCCGCCGUCUGAUUGGCGAUGAAGAUUUGAAACAGCCGGUCCCUGGGCAAUGUAACAGCACCUUCGAACUCACAAAAAUGAAGUCGAAUAAAGUAAUAAAACGUAGAAUCUACCGGAAACCCCCAGGUGAGAUUAUAGCUCUUGUUUAUGGUUUUGUUCCUCCCCAUCGACCGAGCGGUUCGGUAAACUUCUUCCGGAGCAGAGUACUUCGGAAUUUUCGAAAAGUCGAGCUGAAUACUAC